rnacentral:rRNA from 1 species
GACGAACGCUGGCGGCGUGCUUAACACAUGCAAGUCGAACGGAAAGGCCCUGCUUUUGUGGGGUGCUCGAGUGGCGAACGGGUGAGUAACACGUGAGUAACCUGCCCUUGACUUUGGGAUAACUUCAGGAAACUGGGGCUAAUACCGGAUAGGAGCUCCUGCUGCAUGGUGGGGGUUGGAAAGUUUCGGCGGUUGGGGAUGGACUCGGGGCUUAUCAGCUUGUUGGUGGGGUAGUGGCUUACCAAGGCUUUGACGGGUAGCCGGCCUGAGAGGGUGACCGGCCACAUUGGGACUGAGAUACGGCCCAGACUCCUACGGGAGGCAGCAGUGGGGAAUAUUGCACAAUGGGCGGAAGCCUGAUGCAACAACGCCGCGUGCGGGAUGACGGCCUUCGGGUUGUAAACCGCUUUCGCCUGUGACGAAGCGUGAGUGACGGUAAUGGGUAAAGAAGCACCGGCUAACUACGUG